rnacentral:rRNA from 1 species
ACCUUCGGGGAACGAUAACGGCGUCGAGCGGCGGACGGGUGAGUAAUGCCUAGGAAAUUGCCCUGAUGUGGGGGAUAACCAUUGGAAACGAUGGCUAAUACCGCAUGAUGCCUACGGGCCAAAGAGGGGGACCUUCGGGCCUCUCGCGUCAGGAUAUGCCUAGGUGGGAUUAGCUAGUUGGUGAGGUAAGGGCUCACCAAGGCGACGAUCCCUAGCUGGUCUGAGAGGAUGAUCAGCCACACUGGAACUGAGACACGGUCCAGACUCCUACGGGAGGCAGCAGUGGGGAAUAUUGCACAAUGGGCGCAAGCCUGAUGCAGCCAUGCCGCGUGUGUGAAGAAGGCCUUCGGGUUGUAAAGCACUUUCAGUCGUGAGGAAGGUAGUGUAGUUAAUAGCUGCAUUAUUUGACGUUAGCGACAGAAGAAGCACCGGCUAACUCCGUGCCAGCAGCCGCGGUAAUACGGAGGGUGCGAGCGUUAAUCGGAAUUACUGGGCGUAA